rnacentral:rRNA from 1 species
CACGUAGGGUGCGAGCGUUGUCCGGAAUUAUUGGGCGUAAAGAGCUCGUAGGCGGUGUGUCGCGUCGGCCGUGAAAACCUGUGGCUUAACUAUGGGCUUGCGGUCGAUACGGGCAUCACUGGAGUUCGGCAGGGGAGACUGGAAUUCCUGGUGUAGCGGUGAAAUGCGCAGAUAUCAGGAGGAACACCGGUGGCGAAGGCGGAUCUCUGGGCCUUACCUGACGCUCAGGCGCGAAAGCUAGGGGAGCGAACAGG